CAACAAGAAGUAGGGAUUCGGCGCUUAUAAUGAGAUAGAUAAAUCACGCGGACUCAGGCUAGCAAAGAAGACUUCUAGUCGAUCCGGGACUGAAGUGCAAAGACAAAGGAAUAUGGUAGAAGGAGUACAACAAGAAAUCAAAGGAUUGCAGGCUAGAUUCGAGGUAUGCCAAAACAAAGGUAUGCUAGUUGAUUGAUUUCACUCUAUUUUACAGAUUGGGUGGGUGUUCAGUCAGAUGUACUAAAUGCAUUGCUGGGGAACGCAAGUUUGCUCGAGGAUUGGGGGUGGGUUCUUUACUUUUUUUCCGGUAUACCGCUCCGCGAGCAAGGAGCGAAUGAACAUAAGACCUAAUCUCAUGAAUAUCCUUUGCCCGUUAUCUCCUCAUCUUCCUAGAAAAAAUAUCCUUCGCCCGUUAUCUCCUCAUCUUCCUAUUUAUAAGCCA
rnacentral:lncRNA from 1 species